GGGCCUUNCUGGACUGACACUGACACUGAGGUGCGAAAGCGUGGGUAGCAAACUGGAUUAGAUACCCUGGUAGUCCACGCCGUAAACGAUGUCGACCAGCCGUUGGGUGCCUAGCGCACUUUGUGGCGAAGUUAACGCGAUAAGUCGACCGCCUGGGGAGUACGGCCGCAAGGUUAAAACUCAAAUGAAUUGACGGGGGCCCGCACAAGCGGUGGAGCAUGUGGUUUAAUUCGAUGCAACGCGAAGAACCUUACCUACUCUUGACAUCCUGCGAAUUUGGUAGAGAUACCUUAGUGCCUUCGGGAACGCAGAGACAGGUGCUGCAUGGCUGUCGUCAGCUCGUGUUGUGAAAUGUUGGGUUAAGUCCCGUAACGAGCGCAACCCUUGUCCUUAUUUGCCAGCGCGUAAUGGCGGGAACUCUAAGGAGACUGCCGGUGACAAACCGGAGGAAGGUGGGGACGACGUCAAGUCAUCAUGGCCCUUACGAGUAGGGCUACACACGUGCUACAAUGGUCGGUACAAAGGGUUGCCAACUCGCGAGAGUGAGCCAAUCCCGAAAAGCCGAUCUCAGUCCGGAUCGGAGUCUGCAACUCGACUCCGUGAAGUCGGNAAUCGCUAGUAAUCGUGGAUCAGAAUGCCACGGUGAAUACGUUCCCGGGCCUUGUACACACCGCCCGUCACACCAUGGGAGUGGACUGCAUCAGAAGUGGUUAGCCUAACGCAAGAGGGCGAUCACCACGGUGUGGUUCAUGACUGGGGUGAAGUCGUAACAAGGUAACCAANUCCNCGCGG
rnacentral:rRNA from 1 species